CUACGUGCCAGCAGCCGCGGUAAUACGGAAGGUCCAGGCGUUAUCCGGAUUUAUUGGGUUUAAAGGGAGCGUAGGCGGAUUAUUAAGUCAGUGGUGAAAGACGGUGGCUCAACCAUCGUUAGCCAUUGAAACUGGUAGUCUUGAGUGCAGACAGGGAUGCUGGAACUCGUGGUGUAGCGGUGAAAUGCUUAGAUAUCACGAUGAACUCCGAUCGCGAAGGCAGGUGUCCGGGCUGCAACUGACGCUGAGGCUCGAAAGUGUGGGUAUCAAACAGGAUUAGAUACCCUGGUAGUCCACACAGUAAACGAUGUAUACUCGCGGUUUGCGAUAGAGUGUAAGCCGCCAAGCGAAAGCAUUAAGUAUACCACCUGGGGAGUACGCCGGCAACGGUGAAACUCAAAGGAAUUGACGGGGGCCCGCACAAGCGGAGGAACAUGUGGUUUAAUUCGAUGAUACGCGAGGAACCUUACCCGGGCUUGAAC
rnacentral:rRNA from 1 species